UACGUAGGGGGCAAGCGUUGUCCGGAAUUAUUGGGCGUAAAGAGCGUGUAGGCGGUCCGGUAAGUCCGCUGUGAAAGUCCAGGGCUCAACCCUGGAAUGCCGGUGGAUACUGCCGGGCUAGAGUCCGGAAGAGGCGAGUGGAAUUCCUGGUGUAGCGGUGAAAUGCGCAGAUAUCAGGAGGAACACCGGUGGCGAAGGCGGGUCUCUGGGCCGAUAUUGACGCUGAGGAGCGAAAGCGUGGGGAGCGAACAGG
rnacentral:rRNA from 1 species